CCUACGGGUGGCAGCAGUGGGGAAUAUUGGACAAUGGGGGCAACCCUGAUCCAGCCAUGCCGCGUGUGUGAAGAAGGCCCUCGGGUUGUAAAGCACUUUCAGUGAGGAAGAACGCCUGGUGGUUAAUACCCAUCAGGAAAGACAUCACUCACAGAAGAAGCACCGGCUAACUCCGUGCCAGCAGCCGCGGUAAUACGGAGGGUGCGAGCGUUAAUCGGAAUUACUGGGCGUAAAGCGCGCGUAGGUGGCUUGAUAAGCCGGUUGUGAAAGCCCCGGGCUCAACCUGGGAACGGCAUCCGGAACUGUCAAGCUAGAGUGCAGGAGAGGAAGGUAGAAUUCCGGGUGUAGCGGUGAAAUGCGUAGAGAUCGGGAGGAAUACCAGUGGCGAAGGCGGCUUUCUGGACUGACACUGACACUGAGGUGCGAAAGCGUGGGUAGCAAACAGGAUUAGAUACCCCAGUAGUC
rnacentral:rRNA from 1 species